ACCUGCGGAAGGAUCAUUACAGAGUUCAUGCCCUCACGGGUAGAUCUCCCACCCUUGAAUAUUAUACCUUCGUUGCUUUGGCAGGCCGUGGAAACACCAUGGGCCCCGGCCGAUGCGUGCCUGCCAGAGGAAACAAACUCUGUUUUUAGUGAUGUCUGAGUACUAUAUAAUAGUUAAAACUUUCAACAACGGAUCUCUUGGUUCUGGCAUCGAUGAAGAACGCAGCGAAAUGCGAUAAGUAAUGUGAAUUGCAGAAUUCAGUGAAUCAUCGAAUCUUUGAACGCACAUUGCGCCCCGUGGUAUUCCGCGGGGCAUGCCUGUUCGAGCGUCAUUUCAACCCAUCAAGCUUCGGCUUGGUCUUGGGGCCUGCGGUUUCGCAGCCUCUAAACCCAGUGGCGGUGCUAUUGAGCUCUGAGCGUAGUAAUUCUUCUCGCUAUAGGGUCUCGGUGGUUACUUGCCAACAACCCCCAAUUUUAUCAGGUGACCUCGGAUCAGGUAGGGAUACCCGCUGAACUUAAGCAUAUCAUAGACCUCGAUCAGAGAC
rnacentral:rRNA from 1 species